UAAUACGGAGGGUCCAAGCGUUAUCCGGAUUCAUUGGGUUUAAAGGGUGCGUAGGCGGAUUAAUAAGUCAGUGGUGAAAGCCUGCAGCUUAACUGUAGAAUUGCCAUUGAUACUGUUUAUCUUGAGUUUAGUUGAAGUGGGCGGAAUGUGUCAUGUAGCGGUGAAAUGCAUAGAUAUGACACAGAACACCGAUAGCGAAGGCAGCUCACUAAGCUAAUACUGACGCUGAGGCACGAAAGCGUGGGGAGCGAACAGGAUUAGAUACCCUGGUAGUCCACGCCGUAAACGAUGAUUACUCGAUGUGUGCGACAUACUGUACGCGUCCAAGCGAAAGUGAUAAGUAAUCCACCUGGGGAGUACGUUCGCAAGAAUG
rnacentral:rRNA from 1 species